rnacentral:lncRNA from 1 species
GGAGACGACGACCUAGACCUCUCACGAACUCGUCACAGCAUCCUCCAAGCGCCUCACCCUGCAGUACCUGUUCUUGACCUGUGGGGGGGUGUGAGACAGCAAGAGUGAGCUCACAUACAUUCAUCGCUCAACAAGUUGUGGGGAAUAAUGUGCAUGAACUCGCCAAAGGUGGGAGCUCAUGUGAAGUGUAAGGCUUACCAAUGAAGAUGGUUGAAGCUGAGCAUUGCUUUUAAAGUUGGUCAAAAUUUUAUUAGCAAUUACUAAGCAUAAGUAAAUACCAACCCAAUUAAGCAGUAGAACAGAAGUAACAACAUCACCUGCGAUGCAAUGCAUAUGGCAAAUUGAAUUUAGUUCCAUAAAUUAAUCAUGUGAGGGUCCGAGCCGCUCAUGACCGUGAGCACGGCUGAUAUACCAGUUUUACACUCUGCAGAGGUUGCGCAUCUUUACCCACAAGUCAUGUUACCCAUCUGCCAAGGGAUCGCGACUUCCCAUACACCUCUACCGAGGAGGCGAGGCAGGGUAACACUACGAGGCCUUUACAAAGUUCCACUAGCUUCAAAAAACCCGCUACAGUUUAUAGGAAGCUCCAAUGCAGGAAUCCCUUGCAGGACCGCUAUCGCAGCAAAAUCCUCCCGAGGGCCUCCCUACACUGACCACUCCCCUACUGCCCUUGCCCCUUUCGGGUAAGGUAGUCCUCCACUAGCUUUCCUAAUUAAUCAGCCAAGGGCGUCCCAUUAUACCCUUGUGGUAGCACUGUUUUCCCGGGUGGUCGCUCCAUGUUCCAAUUAACAUAAUGAUCUUAUCAUGAAUGAUAAAUAACAACGGAUAACAAAAGUAUAAUCAUGAGUAAUGUAUCUUCAUACCCAAAACCACAUAAAGCACUAGCAAGUACUACCCAAAAAGUUCAGUGGUAACAAGGUAUAAAGAUAAUCAAACUAGGGUAACCUAUUGGGUCCCAUCAAAAUUAACCUAUGCAGAUCAUUAUGAUUAAUCAGAACAUGGCUGGGUAAAAAGAAGUGAUCAAGGGCACAACUUGCCUGGGACUUGAGAUUUCCAGGUACCAACUUGCUCUUCAGAUGACUCGUGACCUCACGCUAGACGUAGCAAUACAAACAAUUAUGGUAUAGGCAAAAUUAACAUUACACCAAACAUAAGAUUAAACUGCGUAUUAAUAAUCUACGCGUAGUAACGAGAUCGUAGAAAUUAGAACCACUAAAUUCGGGGCUACGGCUAUCGAGUUAUGAUUUUCCGAAGAUCCACGUGGUUAAAUAUAGAAUAGACUAAGUGCAAUAUUUUAACCUAUAUUUCAUGACAAAACAAAGUUACCAGAUGAUAAUAGAUAUUAUUGUGAGACUAAUGCAACGAGAAUGGAUUAAAACGGAGUUACUGUUAUUGAGUUAUGAAUUUCUGAAAUUAUUUAGCACCUAGAAUAGAUUAAUUCAAUUGAGCAAUUUUAAUUAAAGUUUCAUGGUUAAACAAAGGUACAAUGUGAUAAACAAUAUUAAAACAAAAUUAAUGCCACUGGAAUGGAUCAAUUUGGAGUUAAAAUGAAUUAAAUAUGAAUUAUACAAGUUUCUAAAAUUGUUUUCAUACUAAAACUCAUUUUCUACAUUAAUAUACUCAUUUUAUUCAAUAUUCGAACUGUGAACACUAAUACUUUAAAGACCAGGGGCUAAACCACAAAUUUCAGGGGCAUAGAUUAAAUUUUCUACCACUGCAUCAGAACGGUGGGUUAAUUCUAACAUUUCCCGGAGGUUCUUUUGAAUAACCAUUCGGUCGGAAGGGUAUUGAUGGAUCUCGACCGUUGGAUCAACGCUGGAUGGCCCAGAUUAGAUCAACUUUAUUAUGAAUCAGGGCGCGAUCACAGCCGCACGGCAACCGUUGAUUCCGAGAUCUGCGAACCAGAUUUAAAAUAAGCGAGAACUAGCCACAACCCCCAGAUCUAGAUCGAACGGAUCCUAUUACCCCGACCGAACCGAUCCCAAGCGCAUCCAAUCGCAGCCGUACACGUCGCGAUCGACGACUCAUACGUUUCUUCUAUCCAACAGCAGACCACAGACCGGGCGGCGCCAGCGCAGCCCGUGGCGGCGUUUCGCUGGCGAGUAGAGGGUUGGGCGACCAGGCGAACCAAUCCGAGCAUGCAUAUGUGCUAGAGAAUCCUCUAAUUAUGUACAAUUAGCGGAAGCGAGUCCAUACCAGGGAUCGGGUUCCGAAAUUGUGGGUCCAGGGCAUAGUGCGGCCAGCCGCAGUCCUUGAUGCCGGCGAGAAAUCAUGAGUGCUCCUAUCACCAAUAGCGCCUGGUCUGUCCACGAGUACCCUCGCACAGUUCUCUCUGCUCACCUGACGAAGCUUUUUGUUUGAGUUUGCUCCACCUAUGGGUUACGGGGACAUGGGCUCCUGGCAUGGCACUCUCGGCGACGAGUCUUGUUCUCUUCCUAAGCGGCUCGAU